rnacentral:rRNA from 1 species
UGGGGAAUAUUGGACAAUGGGCGAAAGCCUGAUCCAGCCAUGCCGCGUGUGUGAAGAAGGUCUUCGGAUUGUAAAGCACUUUAAGUUGGGAGGAAGGGCAGUAAGCGAAUACCUUGCUGUUUUGACGUUACCGACAGAAUAAGCACCGGCUAACUCUGUGCCAGCAGCCGCGGUAAUACAGAGGGUGCAAGCGUUAAUCGGAAUUACUGGGCGUAAAGCGCUCGUAGGUGGUUCGUUAAGUUGAAUGUGAAAGCCCCGGGCUCAACCUGGGAACUGCAUCCAAAACUGGCGAGCUAGAGUAGGGCGGAGGGUGGUGGAAUUUCCUGUGUAGCGGUGAAAUGCGUAGAUAUAAGAAGGAACACCAGUGGCGAAGGCGACCACCUGGGCUCAUACUGACACUGAGGUGCGAAAGCGUGGGGAGCAAACAGG